rnacentral:rRNA from 1 species
GAUGCUUGCGGCUGGGUCACCUNCUUAACAUGCAAGUCGAACGAUGAAGCCCUUCGGGGUGGAUUAGUGGCGAACGGGUGAGUAACACGUGGGCAAUCUGCCCUUCACUCUGGGACAAGCCCUGGAAACGGGGUCUAAUACCGGAUAACACUCCUGCCUGCAUGGGCGGGGGUUGAAAGCUCCGGCGGUGAAGGAUGAGCCCGCGGCCUAUCAGCUUGUUGGUGGGGUAAUGGCCCACCAAGGCGACGACGGGUAGCCGGCCUGAGAGGGCGACCGGCCACACUGGGACUGAGACACGGCCCAGACUCCUACGGGAGGCAGCAGUGGGGAAUAUUGCACAAUGGGCGAAAGCCUGAUGCAGCGACGCCGCGUGAGGGAUGACGGCCUUCGGGUUGUAAACCUCUUUCAGCAGGGAAGAAGCGAAAGUGACGGUACCUGCAGAAGAAGCGCCGGCUAACUACGUGCCAGCAGCCGCGGUAAUACGUAGGGCGCAAGCGUUGUCCGGAAUUAUUGGGCGUAAAGAGCUCGUAGGCGGCUUGUCACGUCGGAUGUGAAAGCCCGAGGCUUAACCUCGGGUCUGCAUUCGAUACGGGCUAGCUAGAGUGUGGUAGGGGAGAUCGGAAUUCCUGGUGUAGCGGUGAAAUGCGCAGAUAUCAGGAGGAACACCGGUGGCGAAGGCGGAUCUCUGGGCCAUUACUGACGCUGAGGAGCGAAAGCGUGGGGAGCGAACAGGAUAGAUACCCUGGUAGUCCACGCCGUAAACGUUGGAACUAGGUGUUGGCGACAUUNCACGUCGUCGGUGCCNANCUACGCAUNAGUUNCCCGCCUGGGAGUACNGCCNAAGGCUAAACUCAANGANUGACGGGGGCCCNCAACGCNGANCUNUGCUUAUNGNCCACNCANAACUNNCAGGUNGNNUACCGAAGAUAAANNNGCCCUUGGGCCGUUNAGGGGGCNGGUGCCANNGNUGGAAUUGGUANCCCAAANCACCUNNUNNUCCNCCUNGGGNGA